rnacentral:lncRNA from 1 species
UUUUAUAUGCCCAAAAAAAUUGACAAACCCAAAACCUCUCAUUACAAACGUUGAAGCAAAUCUACUUACUCGACGAUUGAAAAACCCGUCCCUGAAUUCAUCAUGCCGACGUUUCAACGAUUGGGAAGGAAAAGUUCACGAAAAGGACUUCCCAUCUCACUUACCUAACAUUGAAGUAAAAACCUAGCAAUAAGUGGAGAAAAAUCGUUUGCUGAGUCCAUCCCGCGGACGAACGUUUGGUUGGAAAUGGAUAAUUGCAAUCGGCAAAAUUGUGGACGAUUUGGGAAAGGAAAAUAGCAAAUGAUUGAGCCUGCUCCCGCAUCUCAUAUUUGGCUCUUGCUUCGAGUCCUCUACAGUCGACCGCAAAUUGCAGCUCAAGCCCUAAAAAAGUGAUAAGGUUAGUACAUUAAAAGUUUUGAUGUAGUAAUUUUUCUUCUCGUCUAAUGACUCUAUUCUAUAAAUUAUGAUUUGAGCCUUUUGUGAAUGAUGAACACAUGAUUUUAUGAAUCCAAAAACUUGUGAUUUGUCAUUUUUGAGAGGUUGAAUUAAUUUGCUUCCGUAACUUGUUGGUCAUUUUGACACUCUAACUCUAUUGAAAUUGUGAUUUUGUCAACAUAUGAUUUGUAAAUUUGUUUUGGAUAAUUGAUUUAUGUUUUGUGUUUGUGAUAUGAGAGAUUUGGGUUUGGGAACUUCUUUAAAAUUUCGAAAUAGAGGUGGUGAUUGUGUAUUACAGGAUCAUAUAUGUUUACCUUCUUACUAGUGAUUAUGUUUAGACUUCCAAGUUUUUUCACUUGGAAGUGAAAAUAUUUACAUUUUAAACCGAAUAAUAUUUCCAAUUAUAGGUUGCAUGCCUUGUGGAGAUCUUUGAAUCAAUCUCAUGUCUUUAACCCGAAU